GACAGUUUGGCCUAAUGGUCUAAGGCGUUAGCUUCAGGCGCUCACCCGCAAAGGCGCGAGUUCGACUCUCGCAGCUGUUA
rnacentral:tRNA from 1 species